GGUCGCUUAGCUCAGUUGGUUAGAGCGUGGUGCUAAUAUUGGCAGCCCUCACAGAGGGCUUGAGAGUUAACGCCAAGGUCGCGAGUUCGACCCUCGUAGUGACCA
rnacentral:tRNA from 2 species